rnacentral:rRNA from 4 species
UCCUUUGUUGCCAGCGGUCCGGCCGGGAACUCAAAGGAGACUGCCAGUGAUAAACUGGAGGAAGGUGGGGAUGACGUCAAGUCAUCAUGGCCCUUACGACCAGGGCUACACACGUGCUACAAUGGCGCAUACAAAGAGAAGCGACCUCGCGAGAGCAAGCGGACCUCAUAAAGUGCGUCGUAGUCCGGAUUGGAGUCUGCAACUCGACUCCAUGAAGUCGGAAUCGCUAGUAAUCGUGGAUCAGAAUGCCACGGUGAAUACGUUCCCGGGCCUUGUACACACCGCCCGUCACACCAUGGGAGUGGGUUGCAAAAGAAGUAGGUAGCUUAACCUUCGGGAGGGCGCUUACCACUUUGUGAUUCAUGACUGGGGUGAAGUCGUAACAAGGUAACCGUAGGGGAACCUGC